rnacentral:lncRNA from 1 species
AAAUUUGAAAUAAUUUUACUUUCAGAGACUUACACAAAGGAAAUGGACAACUUUUAUUCUCACAUAACAAAACUAGUUAAUAAUUAUUCAAAAAAGAAUAGAUAGAAAAUGUAGUAACCUGCAGACAAAACAUGCUCUCAGCAUAUAAAAAAUGGACAGAGUGGAUGAGAAGUCGCAUUCUUGAGUGAAACUAAUGAAGUAAUUUGAUGAGAAAUUUGUAUUAGAAGCAAUGGUGAGAGAAGCAUUACCCCAUGGAAAGUGGUUUGAGGAUAAUGGGUGUGUUGUAUUGGUAAGAUGAGCCUCGGGAGUAGUCCAAGAUCUGAAAUGAAGUGAAAUGGGUUUUGAAUGGAAGGUGCCCCCACCCUACAAAAGUAGAGGUAUAUAGGCUAAUUAAGAGGAUGGUGUGAGGUUGCAUUAUUAAUAUUUACGACGAUCAUAAAGUAGAUUGUACCGUAAAGUCAGCAGAACUUCUUCACCUUUUACCUCCAAUGGCGUGGCCUUCCAUUUAUUAACUGUAAAUUGGAUCAUUGGACGCAUGCAGUGCACACCAGUGAUCAAUCCAAAUCAUUGUAAUUGUACUAAACCCUCAAUGGACCACUUCCCAUUCCACUUCUUCAUACAUCUAUAAAACUUGUUUUGUUUUUUUCCCACCAUUUUUAUAUCUAAACAAACAAAUAUUGGUGCACUCCCCAACUUUGAAACUCAUCACUGUUGUCCCUUUUGGUGUUUUCGGGUUCAAAUCUUUAUUUUUUAACUUUCACUAAUGAAAAAGGAUUACUUAGUUCUUUCUAUGAAAGUGAGACUCGGUUUAAUGUGUAUCUUUUUCAAUAAAUGUUCACAGGAUCAACUUUAGGGCUUCUAAUGCUGGUGUGCUUGCUAUAUAGUAGCUUUCAAAGCCCUAAAACUUAAGAAGAUAGAUACAAGUACCAAAAUUCAGAAGUAAAUGUUUUAAAGCUACCAGCACCUUUAUAUGACCAAGAAUAAUUGUAGUUCUGAAAUCAAAAUGAGCAUAUGUAUAAAAUCUGUAUGAUUCAUUUGGAUCAAAUCUGCAUUAAGCAUGAUGGUGACAUGAAGCCUGUGAUGAAGAUAUUAACAAGCUAUAAUGAACACUGAGAUGUGAUAAUGAAUUAAUAACCUAAGGACAAAGGCAUCAUAAUAAGAAAAGGGAAAAAUCUUGAGAAAAUCUUUUUGUGUUUGAAAGAAGAUGGGAUGGUGGUGCAGGACCAGAGAGAGAGAGAGUGAGGGUGAAGAUCAUGGGAGUGUCCAGGACUAAGUGAACCCGAAAAGUGACAGAUCCUUUGGGUAUAAGUUUCUGCUGGGGCUUUCCAUGUUUCCCAAGAUGAUAAGUUAACAGAUCAGAUGCAUGCACAUUGAUUUCGAUUGAGGACCAUGCAGCCCAAAAAAGGAGAUAGAGAGGACCAGAGAGAGAAUAAGGGGUGGCCAAGAAAAUAAAAGAACCCAACAUAACGAAACCAAACCAUUAUUCAAAUCAUCUUUACCAGUCACAGUUAGAUUUGGAUCCAUCUAUAUAUGCACACACCUUAUCCCUUUUCCUUACUUUUCAAUAUCAAAACAAAUAAUUAGCAUAAGCUUUUUCAUCAAUAUGGUUCGUGACAUUUGUUUUGUUCACGUUAGGUUUUGCUUUACUUAAAAAUUGUGUAAUAGUAGCAACACAUCAUUUUUUUUCAUCAACAAUAAUAUAACAACAUACAUAAACAUAAGACAGAUUGUUUUUUUUUUCAUCAGCAAACAUAAGACAGACUGUGAAGCUUUUUAUAUGUAUGGAUUGGACAAGUUUUUUUUAUAGGCAAAGAGAAAUUUAUUAAAACAUCUUUGGACAAAGGCAUAAGAAAUGUCACUUCCAGUUUGAAGAUAGUCAACAAUUGCUGCUUUCUCAAAACGUAAGCUAAAGCAGAUAGGUGGAAAGUUUCAAGUUAUUUAACAUUACAUGAUUGUAAGAAGGGUUUGGCUAGCUAGGCUUCCACAUGUCUUGUUCUUUCCUUUUGUCUGUUUUCGUUUUAUUGCACCAAAUUUGAAAGGAACAAGAGAAUGUAAUGUGUACGAAGUUUCUUUAGUGGCACCCAUGUUGUUACUUUGGGAUGUGGUCUCAGAAUCGUGGCUCUCGAUUGCAGUGCAUGCGUAUACAUACAUACUUCGGUGUGAAUGACAAUUAGUACUAUUAUGGAACAGGUGCAUGUGGAAAUUGUAACUCUCGUAAAUGACGUUUUCUAGUUAGGUAAUGCACUAAUGCUUGAUGAGACAGAACAAUGUUGGAAGCAAAAACUGUACGGCAGGGAGAACAAAAUUAUGGAAAAGCAAAAUUUAGAACCCUCUAUAUACUUCUACAACUUUUCAAUUUCAUAUAUAUAUUCCUCAACUCAAGCAUUCUGAUCGAGAAGUCUGAUCCAAAGUGUAUAUAUUAUUCUUCUCUUGGGGUGGCACUGCAACUUUGUGUAGUGGGAAAAUCAAUACUCAGCAUAUCCUCAGAGUGAGACAGAUUAACAAAUGUGGAAACUAAUCAUGAUACUCAAAAUGAUCUGAAAAUACAUUGAAAAUUGUUACACACACUAUAGUUAAUGAAGUAUAUAAUAAGGGUUUAAUGAGAAAUUUGCAGUGUUAUAGAUAAGGAGUUUUCACUUUGUUAGAGUGUUUUAUGGUGGGAGAAUAGAGGUGCAAAGCAAUGCAUGGUUGACUUGAAGUAAGUGG